CCCAAGGUUCUUGCCCAAGACCCAGCACAACUCAGUGCCCAGGUGUGACUCUGAGCUCUUUCUCUCUCAUUCCCUCUAGGGACCAAGAAAGAAGACAAAGAGGAGAAGGUGAGAUGGUCCCAGGAGGCUCUCCUUUCAGCAUAUGUCGUUUUCUGAGGCUUCUCUGUGCUGAGUGCUUCUGUGUCCCAUCUGCUACCACACCCUGAAAUCAAACUCGGCAGCUUAGGUGCACCAGGCACUGUACAAACAUGUCAGACUUGCCUCCACCCCUUUUUCUACUCCCGCUUUUUCCUGCCGUCUUUCUCUCUCAAGUUUAUCGGCGUGUCAGCGGAUUCUGGUGGCAGAGCAUUCCCACCUCACCUCUGGGCACAGAGCAAUGAGGAGUCAGGGCCCAGCAACACUGUCCUCCAAUCGGCUUUGCUGCAUGACAGUGGGAGAGUUUGCCUCCAGACCCUUCUUGCUCCUCUCCCUUGGAAUUGUCCACCACCAGCAUUGUUGCAACAGGACUGCCAGACACUAGUGCUUUAAUGCAUUUGGGGACAGAGCACUGAAAAACAGAAGAGAAAUUUGUGGUGAGUGCAAGCUCUUGGGUGAGGCUGGGGGAUGUAUGUAGAGUAAGAGACAUUUGCUGAGUCUUCCCCUGCAUUUCUGAGUU
rnacentral:lncRNA from 1 species